rnacentral:rRNA from 1 species
UACGGAGGGGGCGAGCGUUAUUCGGAAUUAUUGGGCGUAAAGGGCGCGUAGGCGGCCCUGUAAGUCAAAGGUGAAAUCCCUCGGCUCAACUGAGGAACUGCCUUUGAAACUGCAGGGCUUGAGGCCGGGAGGGGGUAGCGGAAUUCCCAAUGUAGCGGUGAAAUGCGUAGAUAUUGGGAGGAACACCAGUGGCGAAGGCGGCUACCUGGACCGGUUCUGACGCUGAGGCGCGAAAGCGUGGGUAGCAAACGGG